GAUUCAUAAUAACUAAACGAAUCGCAUGGCCUUGCGCCGGCGAUGGUUCAUUCAAAUUUCUGCCCUAUCAACUUUCGAUUGUAAGAUAGAGGCUUACAAUGGUCUUAACGGGUAACGGGGAAUUAGGGUUCUAUUCCGGAGAGGGAGCCUGAGAAACGGCUACCACAUCCAAGGAAGGCAGCAGGCGCGCAAAUUACCCAAUGCUAAUUCAGCGAGGUAGUGACAAUAAAUACUGAUACGGGGCUCUUUCGGGUCUCGUAAUUGGAAUGAGUACAAUCUAAAUCCCUUAACGAGGAACAAUUGGAGGGCAAGUCUGGUGCCAGCAGCCGCGGUAAUUCCAGCUCCAAUAGCGUAUAUUAAAGUUGUUGCCGUUAAAAAGCUCGUAGUUGAACCUUGGAUCUGGCUGAUCUGUCCUCCUAAUCGAGCGCACGGAUUCGGUCGGAUCUUUCCUUCUGGGGAACCCUAUGCCCUUCACUGGGUGUAGUGGGGAACCAGGACUUUUAC
rnacentral:rRNA from 1 species